rnacentral:rRNA from 1 species
GACAGAGGAUGCAAGCGUUAUCCGGAAUCACUGGGCGUAAAGCGUCUGUAGGUGGUUUAAUAAGUCAACUGUUAAAUCUUGAGGCUCAACCUCAAAAUCGCAGUCGAAACUAUUAGGCUAGAGUAUAGUAGGGGUAAAGGGAAUUCCCAGUGUAGAGGUGAAAUUCGUAGAUAUUGGGAAGAACACCGGUGGCGAAGGCGGCGACCUGGUCCGAUACUGACGCUGAGGCGCGAAAGCGUGGGGAGCAAGCAGG